rnacentral:misc_RNA from 1 species
UCUCCGUAGGUGAACCUGCGGAGGGAUCAUUACAGAGUUCAUGCCCUACCGGGUAGAUCUCCCACCCUAUGUUAUUAUUACUUUGAUGCUUUGGCGGGCCGUUAGGCUCCGGCCCGACUACCGGCCCCGGCUGGUAAGCGCCCGCCAGAGGACCCAAAACCCUGAAUAUUAGUGUCGUCUGAGUACUAUAUAAUAGUUAAAACUUUCAACAACGGAUCUCUUGGUUCUG